CCAAAAAAGUUGAUGCUGUUCAUCUGGACGUCACGGGAGAAACAUUUCAUCACUCAUCUAAAUGACGUCUUCAGCCUCAGCUGACUGCAGGUUUCCCCAACGUUGAAACAGGACAUCUGCAUAAUGACUGAUGCUAACACCACCGACUAACAACGGGCCGCGAGCACUCAUUACGUCACCAGGUCGGCUGGUUGGGCAGCGCUCCCAGGAGAGGGGAGCUCAUCAAACACUAUAAAAUGGCGGAAGAGGUGAGCUCAUCAAAAUCUAAAAUGGCGGAAGAGGUGAGCUCAUCAAAAACUAAAAUGGCGGAAGAGGUGAGCUCAUCAAAAACUAUAAAAUGGCGGAAGAUGAAACCGACAGCUGUUUUGAUGCCCCGCCCACACACCUUACAGCUCACGCUUUGGAGCCAGUGAGAAGGAGAGAGAGUGACCACAGGAAACAGCUGAGAGGAUCAACAGGUGGAGCGAGCAGGUGAGGAGAGGGCGAGCGACACCACCUGACGCGUGCGUGAACGCUGCAGGGAGACGGCGAGUGAGUCGAGCUGCUGUCAGGAAGCUGCUGUGGAUCCAGCAGGUGCUGACGGUCUGAUUCUGAACGUCACAAAGUCGUCUCUAACCAGUCGUCUGCUUUUCUUUCUGAAGUCUGAAGGUUAGAAAACGAGCAGCUGCCACCACCGUGACUCAGAGGUUAACUACACCGACUAAACCUGACAAAGAUCAUUUACUGAUCAACAGUUAGCCUCCAGUUUGUUUCUGCUCUUAUUGUAGCUGCAGAACAAAGAUGAUGCUGGACUCAGUUAUUGAUGAAA